AAUGAACGCUGGCGGCAUGCCUAACACAUGCAAGUCGAACGAAGCCUUCGGGCUUAGUGGCGCACGGGUGCGUAACGCGUGGGAAUCUGCCCUUGGGUUCGGAAUAACAGUGGGAAACUACUGCUAAUACCGAAUGAUGUCGUAAGACCAAAGAUUUAUCGCCCAGGGAUGAGCCCGCGUAGGAUUAGCUAGUUGGUGUGGUAAAAGCGCACCAAGGCGACGAUCCUUAGCUGGCUGAGAGGAUGAUCAGCCACACUGGGACUGAGACACGGCCCAGACUCCUACGGGAGGCAGCAGUGGGGAAUAUUGGACAAUGGGCGAAAGCCUGAUCCAGCAAUGCCGCGUGAGUGAUGAAGGCCUUAGGGUUGUAAAGCUCUUUUACCCGGGUAUGAUAAUGACAGUACCGGGAGAAUAAGCUCCGGCUAACUCCGU
rnacentral:rRNA from 1 species